CCUUUUGUAUAAUGGGUCAGCGACUUAUAUUCUGUAGCAAGGUUAACCGAAUAGGGGAGCCGAAGGGAAACCGAGUCUUAACUGGGCGUUAAGUUGCAGGGUAUAGACCCGAAACCCGGUGAUCUAGCCAUGGGCAGGUUGAAGGUUGGGUAACACUAACUGGAGGACCGAACCGACUAAUGUUGAAAAAUUAGCGGAUGACUUGUGGCUGGGGGUGAAAGGCCAAUCAAACCGGGAGAUAGCUGGUUCUCCCCGAAAGCUAUUUAGGUAGCGCCUCGUGAAUUCAUCUCCGGGGGUAGAGCACUGUUUCGGCAAGGGGGUCAUCCCGACUUACCAACCCGAUGCAAACUGCGAAUACCGGAGAAUGUUAUCACGGGAGACACACGGCGGGUGCUAACGUCCGUCGUGAAGAGGGAAACAACCCAGACCGCCAGCUAAGGUCCCAAAGUCAUGGUUAAGUGGGAAACGAUGUGGGAAGGCCCAGACAGCCAGGAUGUUGGCUUAGAAGCAGCCAUCAUUUAAAGAAAGCGUAAUAGCUCACUGGUCGAGUCGGCCUGCGCGGAAGAUGUAACGGGGCUAAACCAUGCACCGAAGCUGCGGCAGCGACGCUGAUGCGUUGUUGGGUAGGGGAGCGUUCUGUAAGCCUGCGAAGGUGUGCUGUGAGGCAUGCUGGAGGUAUCAGAAGUGCGAAUGCUGACAUAAGUAACGAUAAAGCGGGUGAAAAGCCCGCUCGCCGGAAGACCAAGGGUUCCUGUCCAACGUUAAUCGGGGCAGGGUGAGUCGACCCCUAAGGCGAGGCCGAAAGGCGUAGUCGAUGGGAAACAGGUUAAUAUUCCUGUACUUGGUGUUACUGCGAAGGGGGGACGGAGAAGGCUAUGUUGGCCGGGCGACGGUUGUCCCGGUUUAAGCGUGUAGGCUGGUUUUCCAGGCAAAUCCGGAAAAUCAAGGCUGAGGCGUGAUGACGAGGCACUACGGUGCUGAAGCAACAAAUGCCCUGCUUCCAGGAAAAGCCUCUAAGCAUCAGGUAACAUCAAAUCGUACCCCAAACCGACACAGGUGGUCAGGUAGAGAAUACCAAGGCGCUUGAGAGAACUCGGGUGAAGGAACUAGGCAAAAUGGUGCCGUAACUUCGGGAGAAGGCACGCUGAUAUGUAGGUGAAGUCCCUCGCGGAUGGAGCUGAAAUCAGUCGAAGAUACCAGCUGGCUGCAACUGUUUAUUAAAAACACAGCACUGUGCAAACACGAAAGUGGACGUAUACGGUGUGACGCCUGCCCGGUGCCGGAAGGUUAAUUGAUGGGGUUAGCCGCAAGGCGAAGCUCUUGAUCGAAGCCCCGGUAAACGGCGGCCGUAACUAUAACGGUCCUAAGGUAGCGAAAUUCCUUGUCGGGUAAGUUCCGACCUGCACGAAUGGCGUAAUGAUGGCCAGGCUGUCUCCACCCGAGACUCAGUGAAAUUGAACUCGCUGUGAAGAUGCAGUGUACCCGCGGCAAGACGGAAAGACCCCGUGAACCUUUACUAUAGCUUGACACUGAACAUUGAGCCUUGAUGUGUAGGAUAGGUGGGAGGCUUAGAAGUGUGGACGCCAGUCUGCAUGGAGCCGACCUUGAAAUACCACCCUUUAAUGUUUGAUGUUCUAACGUUGACCCGUAAUCCGGGUUGCGGACAGUGUCUGGUGGGUAGUUUGACUGGGGCGGUCUCCUCCUAAAGAGUAACGGAGGAGCACGAAGGUUGGCUAAUCCUGGUCGGACAUCAGGAGGUUAGUGCAAUGGCAUAAGCCAGCUUGACUGCGAGCGUGACGGCGCGAGCAGGUGCGAAAGCAGGUCAUAGUGAUCCGGUGGUUCUGAAUGGAAGGGCCAUCGCUCAACGGAUAAAAGGUACUCCGGGGAUAACAGGCUGAUACCGCCCAAGAGUUCAUAUCGACGGCGGUGUUUGGCACCUCGAUGUCGGCUCAUCACAUCCUGGGGCUGAAGUAGGUCCCAAGGGUAUGGCUGUUCGCCAUUUAAAGUGGUACGCGAGCUGGGUUUAGAACGUCGUGAGACAGUUCGGUCCCUAUCUGCCGUGGGCGCUGGAGAACUGAGGGGGGCUGCUCCUAGUACGAGAGGACCGGAGUGGACGCAUCACUGGUGUUCGGGUUGUCAUGCCAAUGGCACUGCCCGGUAGCUAAAUGCGGAAGAGAUAAGUGCUGAAAGCAUCUAAGCACGAAACUUGCCCCGAGAUGAGUUCUCCCUGACUCCUUGAGAGUCCUGAAGGAACGUUGAAGACGACGACGUUGAUAGGCCGGGUGUGUAAGCGCAGCGAUGCGUUGAGCUAACCGGUACUAAUGAACCGUGAGGCUUAACCUU
rnacentral:rRNA from 1 species